rnacentral:misc_RNA from 1 species
UUCGAGCCGACGGGAUUGUCCUUCACACGCUCGCUGACAGCCAUGCGCCUCAAGGAAGCCCGCAGGCUGCUUGGGAUCACGCCGGCGCGGCAGGUCGCGGACAUCGCCUAUGCCUGCGGGUUCGACAGCAUCGCGACGUUCUACCGCGUUUUCCGCAGCGCCUAUGGCAUGACGCCGGGCGAUGUCCGGAUGAUCUCUCUCAACGCGUGAACCCUGUGGCCCCGGCGCCACAAGCCUGAAAAGACUCUGCUUUUGAGCAUUCGGACGGACCGUUUGCGCGCAAUGAGAAGACGGCUCUUUCCCGA